rnacentral:rRNA from 1 species
CGGCGGACGGGUGAGUAACGCGUGGACAAUCUACCCUGUAGACUGGGAUAACACCUCGAAAGGGGUGCUAAUACCGGAUAAUGUCGAGAAGCGGCAUCGCUUUUCGAAGAAAGGAGGGAAUCCGCUAUAGGAGGAGUCCGCGUCCCAUUAGCUAGUUGGUGAGGGUAACGGCCCACCAAGGCGACGAUGGGUAGCCGGCCUGAGAGGGUGAACGGCCACACUGGAACUGAGACACGGUCCAGACUCCUACGGGAGGCAGCAGUGGGGAAUAUUGUGCAAUGGGGGAAACCCUGACACAGCGACGCCGCGUGAGUGAAGAAGGCCUUCGGGUCGUAAAGCUCAAUAGUAUGGGAAGAAAGAAAUGACGGUACCAUACGAAAGCCCCGGCUAACUACGUGCCAGCAGCCGCGGUAAUACGUAGGGGGCGAGCGUUGUCCGGAAUUACUGGGCGUAAAGAGCACGUAGGCGGCUAUAUAAGUCAGGUGUGAAAAACCUGGGCUUAACCGAGGGUAUGCAUCUGAAACUAUAUAGCUUGAGUCAAGGAGAGGAGAGCGGAAUUCCUGGUGUAGCGGUGAAAUGCGUAGAGAUCAGGAAGAAUACCAGUGGCGAAAGCGGCUCUCUGGACUUG